GAUGAACGCUGGCGGCGUGCCUAAUACAUGCAAGUCGAGCGAACAGACGAGGAGCUUGCUCCUCUGACGUUAGCGGCGGACGGGUGAGUAACACGUGGAUAACCUACCUAUAAGACUGGGAUAACUUCGGGAAACCGGAGCUAAUACCGGAUAAUAUAUUGAACCGCAUGGUUCAAUAGUGAAAGACGGUUUUGCUGUCACUUACAGAUGGAUCCGCGCCGCAUUAGCUAGUUGGUAAGGUAACGGCUUACCAAGGCAACGAUGCGUAGCCGACCUGGGAGGUUGAUCGGCCACACUGGAACUGAGACACGGUCCAGACUCCUACGGGAGGCAGCAGUAGGGAAUCUUCCGCAGUGGGCGAAAGCCUGACGGGGCAACGCCGCGUGAGUGAUGAAGGUCUUCGGAUCGUAAAACUCUGUUAUUAGGGAAGAACAAAUGUGUAAGUAACUAGGCACGUCUGGACGGUACCUAAUCAGAAAGCCACGGCUAACUACGU
rnacentral:rRNA from 1 species